rnacentral:rRNA from 1 species
GAUCCUGGCUCAGGAUGAACGCUAGCGGCAGGCUUAACACAUGCAAGUCGAGGGGCAGCGCGGGGCGGCAACGUCCUGGCGGCGACCGGCGGAAGGGUGCGUAACGCGUGAGCGACAUGCCCGUUGCCCGGGGACAACCGGUGGAAACGCCGACUAAUCCCCGAUGGGGCGGAGGCCCUCAUGGGUCUCUGUUGAAAGUUACGGCGGCGACGGGUUGGCUCGCGUCCGAUUAGCUAGUUGGCGGGGUAACGGCCCACCAAGG